UGUAGGCAGCUGUGUUCGUUACCGUUGCGUUCACAAUCUCAAUCGAAUUUACAGAGUGGGGAGAAUGCCGCGGCGAAUUUGUCGUACACCGGAGCAAUUCCGAAAAAUCGUCCUAAAACAAGGUCACAGGUACGAAAUACCCCAAAAGCCUCAAGUGCACGACUUAACCCUCGACCAGGACCUGGCCAGCCUAGACAUGCUCAGGAAUCCAAUGUUCUUUCCGAAGGAAAUAUCCAACGACUUAUUUCAGAGUCCAUGACUAAAUUUCAGGAAAAUAUGACCGCAGUUAUUUCAGAGAAGAUAACAACGGAGUUGAGGAAUCUGAACCUGACAAAUGUUUCUAGGAACUUCCGGGAGGAGCCCCAGCUUGAAUGGGAGAGUGAUAUUGCUCCAUCCUUCCCUCGAAUGAGCAGCGCUAGUAAUCUUCGUAACCAUAGUUACAGGCCACGCCCAUCUAGUGCUCGUGCGAAUUUCACAGACCUUCCUAGUGAAUCUCCUGAUAAGAUCUCAAAUAUCAUUUCCAAGUGGCGUAUAAAAUUCAGUGGAUCUUCCAAAGAUAUUCCCAUCGAAGAUUUUAUUUAUAGAGUGAAUUGUCUUACCAAUAAUUGUUUAAAUGGAAACUUUACCUUACUGGCGCAGUUCGCCAGUCUCUUAUUUACUGAUUCAGCCUUGUCAUUUUACUGGCGUGUUCAUAGGACCACGAAUAACCUUGACUGGUAUGAGUUAUGCAGCCGGUUGCAAGAGAGAUACCAGGAUCAACGUUCGGAUCGAGAGAUCAAAGCAGCCAUGCGUAGGCGUAAACAGGGUAGUAAUGAAAGCUUUGACGAUUUUCUAGAUGCGAUGCUAUCUAUCGCAGACUCUUUACGAGAGCCUAUGCAGGACGGUGACGUCACCAUAGAGGUUCGCGAGAAUUUAAAGUCGGAACUGAAGCUCGACUUGCUUCAUAUCGAAACUCCAGAUUUGGCAACCUUACGCAAGGAGUGUCACAAGCACGAGGAAUUCUUUCGAAAUCUGAAGUCAAAGCCUUUUUCGCGACACGAAGUAGUGAAUAGCAAGAGGUUUGUGAACUCCAUUAGCCAUGACGAAGAAGCUGAUGAUAAUUCCGGAAAAGAAGGGGACUCCCUUGACGAAGUUUAUGCACUCCGAUCUUCCGAAAUUAGUAAAUGCUGGAAUUGCGAAGAACAGGGCCACAAAUACCAGGAAUGCCUAAAACCUCGUCGUAUUUUCUGUUAUGGUUGUGGUGUACCUGAUACGUACAAGCCCAACUGUGCAAAGUGUAAAUCGACUACGGAAAACGGGUCCCAGGAUGUCCGUCGGUCAACA
rnacentral:lncRNA from 1 species